AAAUUGAAGAGUUUGAUCAUGGCUCAGAUUGAACGCUGGCGGCAGGCCUAACACAUGCAAGUCGAACGGUAACAGGAAGAAGCUUGCUUCUUUGCUGACGAGUGGCGGACGGGUGAGUAAUGUCUGGGAAACUGCCUGAUGGAGGGGGGAUAACUACUGGAAACGGUAGCUAAUACCGCAUAACGUCGCAAGACCAAAGAGGGGGACCUUCGGGCCUCUUGCCAUCGGAUGUGCCCAGAUGGGAUUAGCUAGUAGGUGGGGUAACGGCUCACCUAGGCGACGAUCCCUAGCUGGUCUGAGAGGAUGACCAGCCACACUGGAACUGAGACACGGUCCAGACUCCUACGGGAGGCAGCAGUGGGGAAUAUUGCACAAUGGGCGCAAGCCUGAUGCAGCCAUGCCGCGUGUAUGAAGAAGGCCUUCGGGUUGUAAAGUACUUUCAGCGGGGAGGAAGGGAGUAAAGUUAAUACCUUUGCUCAUUGACGUUACCCGCAGAAGAAGCACCGGCUAACUCCGUGCCAGCAGCCGCGGUAAUACGGAGGGUGCAAGCGUUAAUCGGAAUUACUGGGCGUAAAGCGCACGCAGGCGGUUUGUUAAGUCAGAUGUGAAAUCCCCGGGCUCAACCCGGGAACUGCAUCUGAUACUGGCAAGCUUGAGUCUCGUAGAGGGGGGUAGAAUUCCGGUGUAGCGGUGAAAUGCGUAGAGAUCUGGAGGAAUACCGGUGGCGAAGGCGGCCCCUGGACGAAGACUGACGCUCAGGUGCGAAAGCGUGGGGAGCAAACAGGAUUAGAUACCCUGGUAGUCCACGCCGUAAACGAUGUCGACUUGGAGGUUGUGCCCUUGAGGCGUGGCUUCCGGAGCUAACGCGUUAAGUCGACCGCCUGGGGAGUACGGCCGCAAGGUUAAAACUCAAAUGAAUUGACGGGGGCCCGCACAAGCGGUGGAGCAUGUGGUUUAAUUCGAUGCAACGCGAAGAACCUUACCUGGUCUUGACAUCCACGGAAGUUUUCAGAGAUGAGAAUGUGCCUUCGGGAACCGUGAGACAGGUGCUGCAUGGCUGUCGUCAGCUCGUGUUGUGAAAUGUUGGGUUAAGUCCCGCAACGAGCGCAACCCUUAUCCUUUGUUGCCAGCGGUCCGGCCGGGAACUCAAAGGAGACUGCCAGUGAUAAACUGGAGGAAGGUGGGGAUGACGUCAAGUCAUCAUGGCCCUUACGACCAGGGCUACACACGUGCUACAAUGGCGCAUACAAAGAGAAGCGACCUCGCGAGAGCAAGCGGACCUCAUAAAGUGCGUCGUAGUCCGGAUUGGAGUCUGCAACUCGACUCCAUGAAGUCGGAAUCGCUAGUAAUCGUGGAUCAGAAUGCCACGGUGAAUACGUUCCCGGGCCUUGUACACACCGCCCGUCACACCAUGGGAGUGGGUUGCAAAAGAAGUAGGUAGCUUAACCUUCGGGAGGGCGCUUACCACUUUGUGAUUCAUGACUGGGGUGAAGUCGUAACAAGGUAACCGUAGGGGAACCUGCGGUUGGAUCACCUCCUUA
rnacentral:rRNA from 1 species